rnacentral:rRNA from 1 species
AUGGCUCGGGACGAACGCUGGCGGCGUGCCUAACACAUGCAAGUCGAGCGGGGAGGCCCUUCGGGCCUUCUAGCGGCGGACGGGUGAGUAACGCGUGAGCAACCUUUCCUCACAGGGGGAUAACGCAGCGAAAGCUGUGCUAAUACCGCAUGAGACUACAGAGCUACAUGGCUUAGGAGUCAAAGGAGCAAUCCGGUGAAGGGUGGGCUCGCGUCUGAUUAGCUAGUUGGCGAGGUAACGGCCCACCAAGGCGACGAUCAGUAGCCGACCUGAGAGGGUGAUCGGCCACACUGGGACUGAGACACGGCCCAGACUCCUACGGGAGGCAGCAGUGGGGAAUAUUGGGCAAUGGGGGAAACCCUGACCCAGCAACGCCGCGUGAGGGAAGAAGGUUUUCGGAUUGUAAACCUCUGUCCUUGGUGAAGAGCAGAAGACGGUAGCCAAGGAGGAAGCCCCGGCUAACUACGUGCCAGCCGCAGC